GACGAACGCUGGCGGCGUGCUUAACACAUGCAAGUCGAGCGGUAAGGCCCUUUCGGGGGUACACGAGCGGCGAACGGGUGAGUAACACGUGGGUGACCUGCCCUCAGCUCUGGGAUAAGCCUGGGAAACCGGGUCCAAUACCGGAUAUGACUCCAUGACGCAUGUUGUGGGGUGGAAAGCCUUGUGCGGCUGAGGAUGGGCCCGCGGCCUAUCAGCUUGUUGGUGGGGUGAGGCCUACCAAGGCGACGACGGGUAGCCGGCCUGAGAGGGCGACCGGCCACACUGGGACUGAGGCACGGCCCAGACUCCUACGGGAGGCAGCAGUGGGGAAUCUUGCGCAAAUGGGCGAAAAGCCUGACGCAGCGACGCCGCGUGAGGGAUG
rnacentral:rRNA from 1 species